rnacentral:pre_miRNA from 1 species
GGGGGGAGCAUGGAUCCUGGGCUAUGUAUCCUGGCGCCCUGGGCUCUGGGCCUGCACCGCUGGAAUCACGCUCCCAGGGCAGUGCAGCCCCCU